GACAGAGGAUGCAAGCAUUAUCCGGAAUGAUUGGGCGUAAAGCGUCUGUAGGUGGCUUUUCAAGUCUGCCGUCAAAUCCCAGGGCUCAACCCUGGACAGGCAGUGGAAACUAACAAGCUGGAGUACGGUAGGGGCAGAGGGAAUUUCCGGUGGAGCGGUGAAAUGCAUUGAGAUCGGAAAGAACACCAACGACAAAAGCAACUCUGCUGGGCCGACACUGACACUAAGAGACGAAAGCUAGGGGAGCAAAUGGG
rnacentral:rRNA from 1 species